rnacentral:rRNA from 1 species
UCGGGAAUUUUGGGCAAUGGGCGCAAGCCUGACCCAGCAACGCCGCGUGAAGGAUGAAAUCCUUCGGGAUGUAAACUUCGCAAGAGUGGGAAGAAUAAGAAAGCACGAAUACUGCUUUCGAUGACGGUACCAUUUGUAAGCUCCGGCUAACUCCGUGCCAGCAGCCGCGGUAAUACGGGGGGAGCAAGCGUUGUUCGGAUUUACUGGGCGUAAAGGGCGCGUAGGCGGUCAGCGCAAGUCAGUUGUGAAAUCUCCGGGCUUAACUCGGAUCGGUCAACUGAUACUGCGCGACUAGAGUGCAGAAGGGGCAACUGGAAUUCUCGGUGUAGCGGUGAAAUGCGUAGAUAUCGAGAGGAACACCUGCGGCGAAGGCGGGUUGCUGGGCUGACACUGACGCUGAGGCGCGAAAGCUAGGGGAGCGAACGG